rnacentral:rRNA from 1 species
UACGAACUGUGCGAACGUUAUUCGGAAUCACUGGGCUUAAAGGGUGCGUAGGCGGUUUGUUAAGUCAGGUGUGAAAGCCCCCGGCUCAACCGGGGAACAGCGCUUGAAACUGGCAGACUGGAGUGAGGCAGGGGUGUGCGGAACUUCCAGUGGAGCGGUGAAAUGUGUAGAUAUUGGAAGGAACGCCGGCGGCGAAAGCGGCACACUGGGCCUUGUCUGACGCUGAGGCACGAAAGCUAGGGGAGUGAACGGG